rnacentral:rRNA from 1 species
UACGUAGGGACCAAGCGUUGUUCGGAUUUACUGGGCGUAAAGGGCGCGUAGGCGGCAAAUUAAGUCAGCUGUGAAAUCUCCGAGCUUAACUCGGAACUGUCAGCUGAUACUGAUGUGCUAGAGUGCGGAAGGGGCAAUCGGAAUUCUUGGUGUAGCGGUGAAAUGCGUAGAUAUCAAGAGGAACACCUGAGGUGAAGACGGGUUGCUGGGCCGACACUGACGCUGAGUGCGCGAAAGCGUGGGUAGCAAACAGG